ensembl:snoRNA
GCUUAUGGGAGGGAGAGCAGCCAGGGGCGAAGUUGUGUGUGUGUGGUGCUGCGGUGUCGCGUGGAAAGCGCGUGUGGGGCGAGUGUGAGUGUGCGCGCGAAUCUAAUUGAGUGUGCGCGCGUGGGGCGUGCUAGGUGAGUGUGUGCGCCCGCCCUGUGCCUCUUCCUACACCUACACUUUGAUCUUAUUUGAUCGGGUUGUGGCCCCAGCCCCGCCGGGCAGACCCGAAAUGAAAAGCUCUCCUCCUGCGAAGCCUCCUUUUCGGGGCGCUGUGCAGCGAGGCCCUUUGGGCGGCGGCAACGCCGCGGUCUCCGAGGUCCCGGAGUCGGUCCUGCGGGGCCCGGCGCUCAGAAGUGAUGAAUUGAUCAGAUAGACGAGGCCGGGAUCGUCCCGGGCCACUGAUUAUCGAGGCGAUUCUGAUCUGA